GAUGAAGAACGUAGCGAAAUGCGAUAAGUAGUGUGAAUUGCAGAAUUCAGUGAAUCAUCGAAUCUUUGAACGCACAUUGCGCCCGCCAGUAUUCUGGCGGGCAUGCCUGUUCGAGCGUCAUUACAACCCUCAGGCCCCCGGGCCUGGCGUUGGGGAUCGGCGGAAGCCCCCUGCGGGCACAACGCCGUCCCCCAAAUACAGUGGCGGUACCGCCGCAGCUUCCAUUGCGUAGUAGCUAACACCUCGCAACUGGAGAGCGGCGCGGCCACGCCGUAAAACACCCAACUUCUGAAUGUUGACCUCGAAUCAGGUAGGAAUACCCGCUGAACUUAAGCAUAUCAAUAAGCGGAGGA
rnacentral:misc_RNA from 1 species